rnacentral:rRNA from 1 species
UGGGGAAUAUUGCACAAUGGGCGCAAGCCUGAUGCAGCCAUGCCGCGUGUGUGAAGAAGGCCUUCGGGUUGUAAAGCACUUUCAGCGAGGAGGAAGGCAUAAAGGUUAAUAACCUUUGUGAUUGACGUUACUCGCAGAAGAAGCACCAGCUAACUCCGUGCCAGCAGCCGCGGUAAUACGGAGGGUGCAAGCGUUAAUCGGAAUUACUGGGCGUAAAGCGCACGCAGGCGGUAUGUUAAGUCAGAUGUGAAAUCCCCGCGCUUAACGUGGGAACUGCAUUUGAAACUGGCAAGCUAGAGUCUUGUAGAGGGGGGUAGAAUUCCAGGUGUAGCGGUGAAAUGCGUAGAGAUCUGGAGGAAUACCGGUGGCGAAGGCGGCCCCCUGGACAAAGACUGACGCUCAGGUGCGAAAGCGUGGGGAGCAAACA